rnacentral:rRNA from 1 species
AACGAACGCUGGCGGCAUGCCUAACUCAUGCAGGUCGAACGAGACCUUCGGGUCUAGUGGCGCACGGGUGCGUAACGCGUGGGAACCUGCCCUUAGGUUCGGAAUAACUCCCCGAAAGGGGUGCUAAUACCGGAUAAUGUCUUCGGACCAAAGAUUUAUCGCCUUUGGAUGGGCCCGCGUUGGAUUAGCUAGUUGGUAGGGUAAAAGCCUACCAAGGCGACGAUCCAUAGCUGGUCUGAGAGGAUGAUCAGCCACACUGGGACUGAGACACGGCCCAGACUCCUACGGGAGGCAGCAGUGGGGAAUAUUGGACAAUGGGCGAAAGCCUGAUCCAGCAAUGCCGCGUGAGUGAUGAAGGCCUUAGGGUUGUAAAGCUCUUUUACCCGGGAUGAUAAUGACAGUACCGGGAGAAUAAGCGCCGGCUAACUCCGUG